ACGGCGUAAAAAUUAUAAAAAAUAAUGGGUUUAAGAAUAUAUAAAGCAAAUGUUAGUAACAUGUGGUUUCCUUUACAAAUUGUUAUCCAUUUCCUUUGGAAUUUAACUUUAUAAUAAAUAAAAUUCAACAACGUGAAUUCUGAUUACAAUAAACAACAAACUACAAGAUUCUCCUUCAGCAGAACGAUUGAGCGGCAGCUAAUAUUUUUGCCCUUUUUUUGUGGGCCAACAACGGCGAGUUGGAGGAACAAUAAUAGCUGCGGCAACAGCAGGACACAGAUUGCGAUGAUGGGGCCGCAUGGAGCGUAGGAGCAUUUUUAGUUUGGCCUUCUCGCAGACGAUGAUGUGAGAUUGGGGCCCCAACGCUGCCAUAACUUUGAAGAAGCCGUGGCGAAUGAAAUGAAAUAUGAAGGGGCUUGGAUUGGCCAUCAAGUGAACAGAUCCUUUUCAGUAGUACGCAGUACUUGGGGCCCAUAAUCGCUGGCACUUAAAGGUUUUCGGCUGAAAAAGGCAAAUAAAUUGAUUCUCCUUGAGAUAGUACUCCCUUA